GACAUUUGGUAGAGACUGUUGAAGCCACCUGGUCCCAGCAGACCCCAGAAGGCAGCCACAUUCGCUGUGCUGGGACAAGGUUGUUGAGGAUGAAGCCUGGUGUCAGAUGUGU
rnacentral:rRNA from 1 species